CAAUAAUGAGAAUACAGCUUUAAUAGAUUAAAUAGUUUGUUCGAGUUGUAUUUUGUCUCUCUUUCUGUCACCCUUGUACCCUGUUUCUAUGCAAUCAAAGGGGCACUCUGAGCAGCAAAACGACUUUAGCUAAAUGAAGCAGUUUUGGUGUACAGAUCAUGCUCCUGCAGUCCCACGGCUCAGUUCUCUGCGAUUUAGGAGUUAAAUCACUUUGUAUGUGCAGCCCUAGUUGCAAAUGCCCCGGUUUUGGCCUAUACAGUCUUCCUACACAUUUCCUGCAAAAGAGUCUUCAUAUUUUAGCUUCCCUUGUUCCACAGUGUGCACCAGUCUCCUGUGCGUUAUAAAGUUAAUUUAACAGAACGUGAGAUAAAAACUUCAAAAGUAAACACACUAUGCUGUAAAAUCUAACAGAAAAUGAAACUUUUUCAUGGAGGCUGUGAGACUUCAGGGGCAUGGUGUGUAUACUAACAGGGAUAUUCUGUAAAGUGAGAAUUCAAAGUGAAUUGAAAGUGAAUUCAAAUUUAAGGCACCCGUAGCAGAACUGAAAGCAUAGCUGACUUGGAGAAUUUUUCCAAUUUGGCUACUUUGACCUUAAAUUUUAAAUUCACUUUCAGUGAAUUUAAA